rnacentral:rRNA from 1 species
AUUGAACGCUGGCGGCAUGCCUUACACAUGCAAGUCGAACGGUAACGGGCCUUCGGGUGCCGACGAGUGGCGAACGGGUGAGUAAUGCAUCGGAACGUACCUUUCAGUGGGGGAUAACGUAGCGAAAGUUACGCUAAUACCGCAUAUUCUGUGAGCAGGAAAGCAGGGGAUCGCAAGACCUUGCGCUGAUUGAGCGGCCGAUGUCAGAUUAGCUAGUUGGUGAGGUAAAGGCUCACCAAGGCGACGAUCUGUAGCGGGUCUGAGAGGAUGAUCCGCCACACUGGGACUGAGACACGGCCCAGACUCCUACGGGAGGCAGCAGUGGGGAAUUUUGGACAAUGGGGGCAACCCUGAUCCAGCCAUGCCGCGUGAGUGAAGAAGGCCUUCGGGUUGUAAAGCUCUUUUGGCCGGGAAGAAAGUGCCUUGCUUAAUACGCGGGGUAUUUGACGGUACCGGCAGAAUAAGCACCGGCUAACUACGUGCCAGCAGCCGCCGUAAGAC